rnacentral:rRNA from 1 species
AUUGAACGCUGGCGGCAGGCCUAACACAUGCAAGUCGUGCGAGCGGCGGGCGGGUGAGUAAUGUCUGGGGUUCUGCCCGAUGGAGGGGGAUAACUACUGGAAACGGUAGCUAAUACCGCAUACCGUCGGCGGAACCCAUAUGGGAUUAGUUUGUAGGUAAGGUAACGGCUUACCUAGGCGACGAUCCCUAGCUGGUCUGAGAGGAUGAUCAGCCACACUGGGACUGGGACAAGGCCCAGACUCCUACGGAAGGCAGCAGUGGGGAAUAUUGCACAAUGGGCGCAAGCCUGAUGCAGCCAUGCCGCGUGUAUGAAGAAGGCCUUCGGGUUGUAAAGUACUUUCAGUCGGGAGGCGUUACCGACAGAAGAAGCACCGGCUAACUCCGUGCCAGCAGCCGCGGUAAUUC